ACGUCGGUGGCUCGGGCAGGGGCUCGGGCUCCGGCUCCGGCUGGGGCACGGGCUCCAGGUCCACGAGCGUCUCGUGCAGGUGCCC
rnacentral:tRNA from 1 species